AUAUUUGAGCAGCACAUCUACUAAAAUUGGAAUGAGACAGAGAAGUUAGCAGGGCCCCUGCGCAGGGAUGACACACAGAAUUUCGUGAAGAUGUUUGCAUAUUU
rnacentral:snRNA from 1 species